rnacentral:rRNA from 1 species
CAGCCGCCGCGGUAAUACGUAGGUGGCAAGCGUUGUCCGGAAUUAUUGGGCGUAAAGGGCUCGCAGGCGGUUUCUUAAGUCAGAUGUGAAAGCCCCCGGCUCAACCGGGGAGGGUCAUUGGAAACUGGGAAACUUGAGUGCAGAAGAGGAGAGUGGAAUUCCACGUGUAGCGGUGAAAUGCGUAGAGAUGUGGAGGAACACCAGAGGCGAAGGCGACUCUCUGGUCUGUAACUGACGCUGAGGAGCGAAAGCGUGGAGAGCGAACAGGAUUAGAUACCCCAGUAGUCCCUGUCUCUUAUAC